rnacentral:rRNA from 1 species
AGAGUUUGAUCAUGGCUCAGGAUGAACGCUAGCGGCAGGCUUAAUACAUGCAAGUCGUGGGGCAGCAUGGUGUAGCAAUACACUGAUGGCGACCGGCAAACGGGUGCGGAACACGUACGCAACCUUCCUUUAACUGGAGAAUAGCCCGGGGAAACCCGGAUUAAUACUCCGUAACAUUAUGAAGUGGCAUCACUUUAUAAUUAUAGCUCCGGCGGUUGAAGAUGGGCGUGCGUCUGAUUAGGUAGUUGGCGGGGUAACGGCCCACCAAGCCUACGAUCAGUAACUGGUGUGAGAGCACGACCAGUCACACGGGCACUGAGACACGGGCCCGACUCCUACGGGAGGCAGCAGUAAGGAAUAUUGGUCAAUGGACGCAAGUCUGAACCAGCCAUGCCGCGUGAAGGAUGAAGGUCCUCUGGAUUGUAAACUUCUUUUAUUUGGGAAGAAACCCAUGAUUUCUAUCGUGGUUGACGGUACCAGAUGAAUAAGCACCGGCUAACUCCGUGCCAGCAGCCGCGGUAAUACGGAGGGUGCAAGCGUUAUCCGGAUUCACUGGGUUUAAAGGGUGCGUAGGCGGGUUGGUAAGUCCGUGGUGAAAUCUCCAAGCUUAACUUGGAAACUGCCGUGGAUACUAUCAAUCUUGAAUAUAGUGGAGGUGAGCGGAAUAUGUCAUGUAGCGGUGAAAUGCUUAGAUAUGACAUAGAACACCCAUUGCGAAGGCAGCUCGCUACACUAUUAUUGACGCUGAGGCACGAAAGCGUGGGGAUCAAACAGGAUUAGAUACCCUAGUAGUCC